AGAGCAAUGGAGGAUGGAUUUGGAGCUGCAAGGCAAUAAACUGGUAACUGAACAAAACCAGUCCAAGAAGAUUGUAUAUAAGAGACACCUGAUAAUUUCAAAAUCCUAGGCCCACUUCCUGAGCUGAGCAAGCAUGCAACCUCAAAGAGAAAAGUUUGAGGAAAUCACUUCAAGGACAAAAAAUUGCAAUGUAAAGAGAAUUAUUUAUCUCCAAAUUCCAGAUUACCCCCCUGCCCAACCCCUGCCAGCAGCACCGUCCACAUGGUUUCUCAUUUAGUUUUGUGUUAGUUUAACAAAGUAGACUCUGCAAUCUGGAUAAAAUAGUAAGUCACCUCAGAUGGAUCUGAGAACGCUGUCUGGGCUUGGUACCAAGAGCUGGUAUUUCACAGCAGCGACCGCCUCACAGACGAGCUGUGGGAAGCAGGAGGGAGACUCUCUCUUAGGGUGCCACUACUAUGGAGACACAGCUGGGCUGAACAAGAUUUGCUUCAAACGACAACAAGAGAGACAGAAAGUAUCUGGUUCAACCGCUGCCCGAGCAGGCAGGCACCAGAAGAGCUAGCAGCCAAUCCGGCCAUGCUCGAAGCCAGCUCUGCAGCUCAGCCAAUCAGUGACAUCAUUGGUGAGAAACUCAUUUACAUCAUGCAGUAAUGAACUUUGUUUAACAUAGACUUCCCCCUUUCCUGUCACCCCCCCCCCUUUCCAUAUUAGGUCCUUCCAUUAAUUAUUCUGCUGGCAUAAUUUAAACCGC
rnacentral:lncRNA from 1 species